ACUGGCCAAGAGAAGUGCUGCUCUCAGCCGUUGGACCGAUUGUGGGAAGGGCGUUCCAACAGAUGAGCCUGCGCACGGGCGCACUUGCGUAUCGUGACCGGCAAACUCCAUCCGACAACGUUUCUAUACCGCUUUCGUUCAGUUCUUUUCGACCCCACCGCAGCGUCGACUUCUUCCGUGCAUGGGGCGCAUCCGUUCACUCGCGAAGGAGCUGCGCCAGCUGGAGCUUCAGAAGCAGACCGCCUCACCGCCUCCUCCUCGCGCGGCUUCCGGCGACGACGUGUUGGAUGACGCAACACGCUCUGCCACGUCUAGCAGGAAGCCCGAGGCCCCCUCCUGCUCGUCCAGCCCUCGCGUUGGUGACAUCUUGACAAACGCGGCGCAUGCCGCGACGACCGCAGAGGCAGAGGCGGUGCCAUCCUCUUCGCCAGCCUCUAGUACCGGAGCUGCCGCAGAGCCUCAGCCGACCUCGGCGUUUCCGCUUCCACGGCUGUCUUCCUCGUCCCGGGACGGUGCACACGACCGCAGCAGAAACAGCCUCUACUCGCUCGGCGGCAGCCGCUUUGAUAUUCUCAUGGGGGGAAGCCACGGCGAUGGCGGUGCUUGUCGCAAAUCGCAGGUGCGAAAGGCCACGAAGGCGUGCGCGAGCGGCGGAGGUAAAAAUGGAGCCGCGACGACGACGGCGACGCAGGAGCCCCAGCUGCGUGGUGAUGCGGAGGGGAGUUCUCUCCUUGAGAACGGCGAAGACGGCGAGGCAGCGACUAACCCUGCGCCGCCUCUUGGCACGUCCAGCGGCAUUCCGACUCGCCCACCAUUCAAACGCCUCCUCGCGCAGCCGUUCAGCCACGUGCUUGUGUGCGACUUCGAGGCCACCUGCGCCAGUGGCAGUGUUCACUACCCGCACGAGAUCAUCGAGUUUCCUGUCGUGGUGCUGGACACGGCAACGCUACGCAUCGUGGCGGAGUUCCAUCGGUAUGUCCGGCCGCUGCGCAAUCCAAAACUGACAGCGUUUUGCACAGAGCUGACGGGCAUCACGCAGGAGAUGGUGGAUGUGGCGGACCCCCUGCCGACAGUCGUCGCGCAGUUCCAGGACUGGCUGAAGACCGAGGUGUAUCCGCUCUGCCGGAUGUGGGCGAGGCACUACGGCCCUAACCGCCUCUCCCACAACCUCAAGUCGGAGCAGCGCCGCUUCGUCUAUGACGAGCACACAGACGCGGCGAAGGCCAACACGUCUGCAGAGGCCAUGAUAUGCAUGGCUACGGACGGGCCGUGGGACAUGCGCCGCUUCAUGCAUGAGUGCAGCGUCCUGCGCGACGGGGUCGACUUCCCGCCUGUGUGUUACCGCUACAUCAACGUCCGGCAUAGCUACAGCGAUCACUUCAAGUGCCGUCAGGCGAAGCUGACGCACAUGCUGAAAAAGAUGAGCAUGUCCUUUGAGGGGCGGCGGCACAGCGGCAUCGAUGACACGCGCAACAUUGCACGUGUGCUGGCGGAGCUCUUUGCGCGAGGCUACCGCGUGCAUCACGUGAGCACCAUCAAGUACGCCCACCGCGGAGACGCCUUCUUGGAGAGCGACCGGGCCGCACAGGAGUUGCUGUCCGAGUUCGGCGAGACGGACGAGACCCACACGAGCAAACACGCGACUGUACACAAGGGCGGCGGCAGACAGCGAGGCGUGAAGAGGGCAUAACGAGAAAGGUACGCAUGUGCAUGCCUGCAUGUCUCUCGAGUGCGCGUGCGUCAGUAAGCGCGUUAACUAAAGCGAAACAAGGCCCCGGAAAGCUGUUUCGAUGGGCACGUUCUUGCGCAUGUGCACGCCUAUGUGCCUGUGCGCUCGAUGCACCGCUAUGUGAC
rnacentral:misc_RNA from 1 species